GCAACUUGGGCUUUAUCUGGGGGACUACGCCUUUCGAAAGGACGACUUAUACCCCAUAAUAUGUUGAAUGGCAUCAUUCGACAUUGAAAACUCCGGUGGAUAGCAGAUGGGCACGCGCAAGCAUUCAGCAUAGUUGGUGAGGUAAACGGCUCACCAAGUCUACGAUCUUUAGGGGGGCCUGAAGGGUGAUACCCCCAAANUGGUAAACUGAAGACACGGGACCAGAGAAUCCUACGGGAGGGCAAGCAAGUGAGGACAUUAUUUGGACAAUGGGGUGAAGAGCCUUGAAUCCCAAGAUCAGCAGAUUAACAGCACUGGAUGGUUGAAACGGGAAANGGGAACAUUGGAGAACCCAUAAUUAGGGGGUUAUGGUAAAAAAGUUUUAGCUAAGNGGGGUAAUAAGGGGGAAUUAGAAAACNCGUAGAGUCACAGUACGAAUUGGAGGGAGGGUCAGAAGNUUCGAAAAUGAGGUUUACAUAUAAAGGAAGAGUAUAGACNNAGAGGGGAAUUACAGAAUUCCACGAGUGGGAGCAAGUGAAAAAGUGAUAGAGGCGNGNAAUAAAAGUUAAAACAGGGAUAAAGGANGUAUAGGGGCAGAAG
rnacentral:rRNA from 1 species